UACGUAGGCAGCAAGCGUUGUUCGGAAUUACUGGGCGUAAAGAGUGUGUAGGCGGUGUUCUAAGUUUGUCGUGAAAUCUCCCGGCUUAACCGGGAGGGUGCGGUGAAUACUGAGGGACUAGAGUACGGGAGAGGAAAGUGGAAUUCUCGGUGUAGCGGUGAAAUGCGUAGAUAUCGAGAGGAACACCUGCGGCGAAGGCGGGUUGCUGGGCUGACACUGACGCUGAAGUGCGAAAGCUAGGGGAGCGAACGGG
rnacentral:rRNA from 1 species